CGUUGAGGUAAGAGAGUCAGCAGUUCAGCAGAGGGAGUAUCACAAUUGACUGAAGAGAAUUGAAGACUGAGAGCGCAAGCAGCAAAGAGACUGCAGCAGCAGUAGCACUGCUGGAAGAGACCAGUUUCAUGAAUGUGAUCCAGCCUGCAUUUCACACACAAACUGCCUUUGUUCUGCUGCACAUCGGAUUGGAUAGAAGGAAAGAAGAAAUCAAGGCCAUGGAAAUGCAGGGAUGAUUUAGGAUUGGUACAUCUUGAUACAUCUUCACCAUGUCUGGGAUUCAGAGUGCAGCUGGAAUAUGUAUCUAUACUAAGGACCUUGAAAACACUUGGUACCUCAAAGCUCAGAUGACAAAACCUACAGCUUCCUCUGUAUUCUUUGAUGUUACAGCUGAAUUUUCA